rnacentral:rRNA from 1 species
AUGGCCAAAGGCGACGCGCCAACGGGGGUGGUGACGGAGCUGGGGGCAGAGAAGGCAGAGGCGGAGGUGGAUGCUGGCUUCGAGUUCGCCUUCAAUAACAAGGCCUUCUCCGACAGGGUCUUGCGGAUAGAGGUCGUCGGCACUAGCUGCAAGCGCCGCCGCUAUAAGGCUAAAGAUAAUGAGGGAGAAGGUAUUGACUCUUCUUGUGUUGUAAUGGGUACGCCAGGUUUACGAGUCAAGACCAUACAUGUCAGUUCAGUGAUCCUCGCCGCAAGAAGUUCUUUCUUUUUUAAGCUUUUCUCAAAUGGCGUGAAAAAAUCUGGUCAAAGACAGACAAAAAUUAGAAUUGCUGAUUCAGAGGAAAAUGCCUUUAUGGAGCUUUUAAAGUUUAUGUACAAUGGAAGGUUGACACCAACAACUGAGUCCACUCUUCUGGUUGAUAUCUUGAUGGCUGCUGACAAAUUUGAUGUCGUUUCGUGCAUCAAGCUUUGCAGUCAGCGGCUCAUAGGCCAGCCUAUGACCCUUGAAUCCGCAGUGAGGUGCCUAGAUAUCCCAUGUUCCAUUUCAAUGGCAGCUGACCUAUCAGAGGCAGCCAAGAAAUUCCUUUCUAAAAGAUACGAGAAAUUCCUGUCAACAAAGCAUUACAUGUUUCCAGGAUGA